GCAGAGUUCAAGAGAAGCACUGAGACCUCUCCAGUGGCAGAUAGCCCUUCUUCACAAAACACUAUAAAGAAGCUGUCAAGUGAAGAUCUCACAGUCUUACAUGGGAUGCAUCAGUAAUGGGUUGCCCCCGGUUCGGACCGGUUCGCAAGAACUGGUAGUAAAACUGGCAGGAGGCUCCGCCCACCACCCCGGAUGUCAUCAUAGGCGAUCUGCGCAUGCGAUCCCGUUGCAAACCAGUUGUAAAGUCCUUUCUACUAAUGUGAUUUGUGCAGGAAAAAAAGACAACGCAGAGUUGACUAUACAGGGAAAAAACAGCAUGCAACCAUUUGAAUAAUCAGAGCGGCAAGUGAAGAAAAGUGACUUGUAACAGCAUCACACACUUGUAGGAUUUGGAGACAAGAAAGUGUGUAGUCAUUGUGUUCAAUCUGGAGACCGGCAAGCACAAUCUCUCCCUCUUCCCCUCUCCCAUGCAAGAGUAAGGGGCAAGCACCUUGUCAUCUGGGGCAUUCUUCUCUGCUUUCUGUCCUUCUGGUUUUCCUGGAUUAAAGACAAGCAAGCAAGCAAAUGAAAUUCA